rnacentral:rRNA from 1 species
GGGGUAAACCUGCGAAACUCGAAUGAACGAACGGAGAGAUUCACCGCCACUCCGCGGCGUACGGGUGCGCGUUCGAUGCCCGCCGGCCUCGCGCCCCGGGCACGUCGCUCGCCCGUCGACGUCCGCGGACGGCGUGCACUUCUCUCUCAGUAACGCAAACAUCGCGACCCGUUCGAUGUCGGCCUAAGCGCCGUCCGGGAGCCCCGGUGUCGCCCGUUCGCGGGCGGCGCCUGGACCGCUGACGGACGCCGGCCGGCCGUCGGACGGUACAAUAAACGAAACGCGCACGCGUUUUAUACGCGUCCGGCCCGACGCAAGUCAACGUCGUAUCCGACGUUCCGCCCGAGCGCGGACGUUGGUGCGGCGCGUCUGUCGUCGCAGCCGUGCAGUCUCGGACCGUGCGCGUCUCCGUCUGCGAUGAUUCAGUUUCGGGCACUCGCAGGACCCGUCUUGAAACACGGACCAAGGAGUCUAGCAUGUGUGCGAGUCAUUGAGAUUAUCAAUUAAACUGAAAGGCGCAACGAAAGUGAAGGCGCGCGCUCGUCGCGCGCUCAGGGAGGAUGGAGCCGCGAUCUAGGUCGCACUCUCGCACUCCCGAGGCGUCUCGUUUCCAAUCCGUGAAUGCAGGCGCGCUC